rnacentral:rRNA from 1 species
GUAUUAGUUAUGUUCUUUAAACCCAAAGGAUUUGGCGGUAUUUUAGUCUUUUCAGAGGAACCUGUCCCGUAAUUGAUAUUACACGAUAAGAUUUACUUGUUUUUGUUAUUCAGUUUUUAUAUCUCCGUCAUAAGAAUAUCUUUUUAGAGUUAAUUUUCUUAAUUUUUUAAGAUAAAUAUGUCAGGUCAAGGUGAAGCUUAUAAACAAGAGGAGAUGGGUUACAUUAAAUCUAUUUAUAACGAAUUUUUUAUUUAAAUUUAAAAUUGAAGGAGGAUUUGAUCGUAAAUUUAUUUUUGUUUAAUUUUUUGAUUUUAGCUCUAAAAUAUGCACACAUCGCCCG